rnacentral:rRNA from 1 species
AUUCCAGCUCCAAUAGCGUAUAUUAAAGUUGUUGCAGUUAAAACGCUCGUAGUCGGAUUUCGGGGCGGGCCGACCGGUCUGCCGAUGGGUAUGCACUGGCCGGCGCGUCCUUCCACCCGGAGACCGCGCCUACUCUUAACUGAGCGGGCGCGGGAGACGGGUCUUUUACUUUGAAAAAAUCAGAGUGUUUCAAGCAGGCAGUCGCUCUUGCAUGGAUUAGCAUGGGAUAAUGAAAUAGGACUCUGGUGCUAUUUUGUUGGUUUCUAGUACUGAAGUAAUGAUUGAUAGGGAUAGUUGGGGGCAUUAGUAUUUAUUAGCUAGAGGUGGAAUUCUCUAAUUUGAUAAAGACUAACUUAUGCGAAAGCAUUUGCCAAGGAUGUUUUCAUUA